UGGGGAAUAUUGGACAAUGGGCGAAAGCCUGAUCCAGCAAUGCCGCGUGAGUGAUGAAGGCCCUAGGGUUGUAAAGCUCUUUUACCCGGGAUGAUAAUGACAGUACCGGGAGAAUAAGCCCCGGCUAACUCCGUGCCAGCAGCCGCGGUAAUACGGAGGGGGCUAGCGUUGUUCGGAAUUACUGGGCGUAAAGCGCACGUAGGCGGCUUUGUAAGUCAGAGGUGAAAGCCCGGAGCUUAACUCCGGAAUUGCCUUUGAGACUGCAUCGCUUGAAUCCAGGAGAGGUGAGUGGAAUUCCGAGUGUAGAGGUGAAAUUCGUAGAUAUUCGGAAGAACACCAGUGGCGAAGGCGGCUCACUGGACUGGUAUUGACGCUGAGGUGCGAAAGCGUGGGGAGCAAACA
rnacentral:rRNA from 1 species